CCCCCGCAAGAUCGCGCCGGUGCCCCGCAAGGGGCUUAAAAGGGAACGCGGUGAGUUCGACCGGCAACGGGCGAUCGAAUCCGCGGCUGUCCCUGCAACUGUAAGCGGAGAGCGCGAUGCACCGUUCCGGCCCCGCCGGAACAGCCACUGGGAUGAAUAUCCCGGGAAGGCGUGCAUCGAGCGACGACCCGCGAGCCAGGAGACCUGCCGGCGUGGGUCGCUCAAU
rnacentral:ncRNA from 2 species